GACGACGGGCAACACGCGUCAUGCUGGUCAUGUGAUCUGUAUCGUUCAAUGUAAUUGGCAGCGAAGGAAGGACAUUUCCGGCUACAUCGGUUAGUUACCAUGCCAACGUAGACAGACUCGCCUCCAUCCUUUGAGACGCUGACAUUUUUUUAACCAUUUAUUCGUUUAUUGUGCAGUCUUUGUUAAAGCAAGAUACUUGUGACUAUUUACUUCAAAUAAACUGCCAGCAGGAUGUUUGGUUGUGAGGACUGACGUUCCAAAAACAAACUUGUCCAGAGGGCGAGAGACAGAAUCAAGAAAGAUGGCGAGAUGACGAACUGCAUUGCAGAGCUGGACAGGUCCGUAGAGCAGCACUGCAGGCCCUCCUGGAGCAUGAGAGACAGCAGUACGUCAUAGAACUCAACAGACUGGGCAAGACCAUCUACAAACAGAGAGUCUAGACUCUAGUCUCUACUAGACCCAUAACAACACCAAAGACCAUCUGAAGUUUAUGCUGAAAGCCAUCUAGCAGCUAGGAUGUGUGAACAAAUAUAGAAUACUUUGAAGUAUUAAUGUGAAAACAUUUACUCACAGCCAUCUACAAGCACCUUGUUUACAAUUUAAUAUGUGCUUUUUCUUUAGGAUUACAGUUUUACAUCGUUGUAUUUACAUACAUAAAAAAAGGUCUGAUCUGUACUUCUUCUUCUGCAGAGUGGAUAAACUGCUUCUGUAAAAGUACACUUUUAAGCAAUUUACAUUCCAGUAACGAAUUACUGGGCCUUAUGUCACCUUAACAAAACAGGAAUUUGUGUGACAGUCAGGGAGGUAGCACUGUACAUAAAUAAAACACAUAUUUGGUUAACAAACAGGUCUCCUUGUCAACAGUAAGCAAGACCAAAAAAAAUCAACCUAUACACAGUCUGGCAUUUGUCCAUUCAGUAGAACUUUCUACUGGUCAUUUGCGGGGUAAUUCUGUAACAUAUGAGCUCACUACAUUUAACAUACUGUAUUGUAGCUCACAAUGACAGGUCCAAUCUCUCUAGCCAUAUCUGGUACACUUGGUCAUGCAUGGUUGGAGACUGUAACACAAACUGAGAAAGUAACUGGAAUUUCCAGAUAAACAAAAAGGAGAGCAGUCGUUGAUAAUAUCAAUCAGAUCGAUCCAGUUUAAUACAGUCAUUCAGGGAGACACCUCCAGAACAGAAGCAUAGAAAAUGUCCAACGGGGCUCUUGGAGACAGAACCUUCAUAUUCUAAUCAGACAGUACCAAAUGUUCUCUAAAAUAUCAGCCAGAGGGGCUUGGAGUCAAUACAAAGACAGUGACUUUGCCGGCUGCUACAGAAUCACUCAGUGUUCAUAAUGUCAUCAAUACAAUAAUAAUCUGUGUGUUCUCGGUCCUUGUACCUUCAGUAGCUCAGGUCUAGUGACCAUCAACCCAUACAAAAGUGAGUCUCACAAAUAGAACAUUGGAAAUUAUGUGUAUUAUAGAAAGGGAAAACAUAAAUAUGCUAAUCAUUGUGUUAAUUACUGUUAACUGAAUAUUCACUUUAUUCAUCUUAAAUUUUCCCAUUACCCACACAGGGCAAUGUUAUACUCUGAUUAACGCACACCACACCCAAAUGCAAUAAAGGUCCAUCAUAAAUCUAUACACUAUAUAGGUCAAUCAUACAUCUAUGCACUAUAAAGGCCAAUCAUACAUCUAUGCACUAUAAAGGUCAAUCAUAGAUCUAUGCAUAAUAAAUAUUUAAUAGACAAUUGAACCAGAUGGGCAUGCACCUGCGCACUUCUUUAGAGCUCUUCUCUAGAACUCUUCUCUAGAACCUUUGCAACAUUCAGAAGUCACCUCAGAGACACCUUGCUCCAUCUCUGAGGGAAUUAGCCCUAACCUCUUUCAGUCAUUCCUACAUUAAUGUACUGUACCAUAGGAUGAAACUCACUAAUUUAAAAAUGUAAUGUCUCCCUUCCUUA